AUCAUUCUGUCCAGAUCCUAGACUAUUUCCGUCGCCCCCUUCAGGCGUACUCCCCCUCGGCGUCAGAGGCGAGCAGCGACCUCGUUUCUGUCACUGUACUUCUGCUUGGUCUAGAACUUGAUGUAAAUAGAAUGAUUUAAUAUCUACUUUUCUGUCUUCCUUCUUUCCCUCUACUCCAGGUUUUUGAGAUCCGUCUGUCAGUGUUUUGGUUUGUUUUUGUUCUUGUUUAGUUCUUUUAAAAGGCAGGAGUCACUGUCGACUUUGUAUCAAAGCUGUGUUUAUGUCUGUGUGUCUCCACCCAAGUACAGCCCUUGGUACAGAACAUGCCAAAGCAGAAUAGACUCCACGGAAGAGGGAAACGUGUAGGGGAGUGUGUGAAAGAUGGCACACGGAGGAGAGCGCAGUCUGGCGGGAGGCGGCCAGAACACAACUCUGCUUUCGGUGAGCGCAGCUUGGAGAGCUCUCUCUGCUCAGCCUCGGAAACACAGCGCAAGAAAAGGGAGUUUAAGAUACCGGUACUUGCAACAAAUGUUUCCCCAGCACACACCUGUCCAGGCUUUGUGCCACUGUGCUGGGAGAGACAGAUUCGUGUGACAUCUGCACGCAGGGACUUCGCAGGUUAGAGAGGUUACACACCAGGGUAACAAGCCAUGCGGUGCCCAACAAAAAGUCCAGGAACAGAAGUUCCUCCAGGGGACAAAGCACAGGACAGAGGUGCACACCCAUGACGGGACAAGGUGAAGACGCCAAGCCCAGGAGAGGUGACGCCUGAGCUGGUUCUUCAGGAGUUUUAAUCAACAAAUGGGCUAAAUGUGUUCAAAGCAGGUCAGGGUGCACUAGGGGGUGUGAAGGGGUAUGAGAAAUGUGCUCACCCACAGGACCUCGCAAUCUGCAGUCAGAAAAGGCAGGAAGUAAAAUUUAAGUGAAUUCACUGCUCUUGACUUAACCUUUCAUAUCACACUGUGACAGCGUCGUGGAUAUAUGUGUCACUUGCCAGGUAAGAAUGGUGAGAUGUCUUUGUCGCAUGUCCUAGAACUCUGCCGUAAUGAAUUGAGUGAGGUCCUGUUGUUGAGAGUUUAUCGUGGAAGAUAAAUCUGAGCAGUCACCUGGCCAUGAGUCCUGGGGUCCAGCUUCAUGAUCCAAAUCUAUGCUGGUCAGGCUGUGGUUUGGUGCCCCCUCAUGGUAAUUGUCUGCUCUACUUUGACUACUGAUGGUGAAUCAUUUGGGGUCCGGUUACUGGCUGGGACCUCAAAAAUCGCACAAGUCUAGGGCUCUUGAGGGCACCUAUUGAAUUCUUUUACUUUGAGAGAGAGAGGGGAAAGAGAGAGAGAAUCCCAAGCAUGCUCUGUGCUGUCAGCGCAGAGCCCGAUAGGGGGCUCAGUCUCAUCAACUGUGGGAUCGUGACCUGAGCUGAAAUUGAGUUGGUCGCUUAGCCAACUGAGCCACCCAGGCGCCCCUCCACCUAUUUCUUUUAAGAUGUGAGUUUUAGGGGCGCCUGGGUGGCUUAGUCGGUUGAGCGUCUGACUUUGGCUCCGGUCAUGAUCUCCUGGUUUGUGAGUUUGAGCCCCAUGUUGGGCUCUGUGCUGACAGCUCAGAGCCUCGGGCCUGCUUCGGAUUCUGUGUCUCCCUCUUUCUCUGCCCCUCCUGCACUCAUGCUCUGUCUGUCUCUGUCUCUCUCUCUCUCAGUAAUAUAAUAAAUAAAUGUUUAAAAAUUAAAAAAAAAAAAAAAAAGAUGUGAGCUUUGGCCCAGGGGUGUGCAGCCUGUAGGGGCAGAAUUGCCCUCAGAGUGUAUUCAGUGGCACCACAGCUAUUGAGCUGCUGGCUCUUGGGCCAGUGAGGUGGGAAACCGAACGUGGGACUCCCAUGCUGAGCCAAGAUCCUCAGAUAGGCUGAAGGGUCCCAGGUUCAUGGUGCCUCUCAGAUACCAGUGGAGGAAAGCUUCCCCUACUUAGAUCUGUGGUGUUCCUGUUUAUAAAGUCAGGCGGUGAGCUUACAGAGAUCACCAGGCACACAGAAAGCUCUCACUGAAUGAGGGUCAAAGAGAACAGCAAACAGUGCACAUCAACCUCAGAAUUCAGAUAAUGAAAUUACCAGAUAAUGCAGGCAAGGGAGUAGUUCUGUAUGAAGCGUGUACAGGAAUGAGAAAGCAAUAAAAGGCUAUCAGGUAUGAGCAGGCACAGUUUUUAAAAGACAACUUUUAGAAAUUAAAAGUAUAUUUGUUGAUAGAAUCCACUGGGUAGGUUAAAUAGCAAAUUAGACACUGCUGAAGAAGGCAUUAGUGUAGUGGAAGAUACAUCCAAGGAAAUCCAGAAUACCACACACACAAGGGGAUGGAAAACAUAAAGGAAAUGUUAAAGGAUUUGUAAAGCAGAAUAAGAAGGUCUGGCAUGGACCUGACAGGAGCCCCAGGAGGAGAGAGUGAAGGAGAGGACACCCAGUGAGGGCCUGCAGUGACAAGCCUCACGAUUAGGCAAAUUCCAACUUCAUCAGCGGCUGGCUGCCACAGCCCACCCGGUCCCUCUGCUCCAGCCAAGCUCAAGCUCUCAUAUUGUACAAGGUUAAGGAUGGAGGUGAAGGUAGGUCAGGCAGGGAGACGUCAUCCAACCCCACCAGGGGAAGAUGAGUGUUUGCACUCCCAAUUUUAACCAGUCCCCAUAACUGGGCCAACAAAAUAAUCAACGAUAGGAAAAGGACACUGAAAUCAUUACCAACAGCCUGGAAGUUCCAGCCACCCUCAAGACCCAAAACCAUCACCUUCGAUAGUUAAGUCAUAAAAGGCAACUGCAAACAAGUAGUGCCAAUCCACAGCUGAGAGCCUGGAGGGGGCUGGCAUGUAUGAAGGCUCGCUCCAUUCUUCACGAGGACGAGAUUCUGCGCUUCACAGGACUGAACUGUUUCGGAUCCCCAUUUACAGUAUUCCUACAAGCUUUUCUUUAUUUAAUAAAAAACAUAAAUUCCCAGGUCUGGGAAGCAUGAUGGAGGAAGCAGCAUAAAUAAAGAGAAAUCUACACCUAAACACAACACAGUGAAAGCACAGACCAGCAAGAAGAGAUCUUUAUGUCCGAGAGACUCAAUCACCCACAAAGCAGCCAUGGUCACACCAUCGGUCGAGUUCUCAAAGCAACAGAGGCAGCAGUCGUUUGGUGCCUUCGACGUGCUGGGAGGAGACCCCUAGAACUGCAUGCCCGGCAAAAUUAUUGUUCAUAAAGAAGGUGAACAUGGACAUUUACAGACACAUAAAAUAUACGACAGUUUAUCACUGGAGCUUUGACUGAAACAGCCUCUCCAGUUUACACUGCAAAACGAAGGCAAAUGAUAGAAUAAUGGUCUUCGACACGAGGUGGAGCGGUGAGCAAACAAAAUGACUGAUAUGAACUAGGUCCAAGCACCACAUAUAUCGAAGAGGGACGUCGACUGAAACACUGAACAACAAAGCACGUCUGCUAGAAGGGGGUGUAAAUGCUUUGAGAUCCUCCGACAGUUGGGAAGGGGUGUAAGACUCUAAUAUUUGAUAAAUAUGUGUAAUAUAGGGGUUCCUGGGGGCUCAGUCAGUUAAGUGUCCAACUCUUGGUUUCGGCUCAGGCCACCAUCUCAUGGUUCAUGAGUUCGAGCCCUGCGUCAGGCUCUGUGCUGACAGUGCAGAGCCUGCUUGGGAUUCUCUCCCCCUCUCUCUGACUCUUCCCCAUUUGUGCUAUCUCUGUUUCUCUCAAAAUAAAUAAACUUUAAAAAUAAAUAAAUAGAAGCA